UACGUAGGGGGCAAGCGUUGUUCGGAAUUACUGGGCGUAAAGGGCGCGUAGGCGGCACGGCACGUCGGGAGUGAAAGGCCUGGGCUCAACCGAGGAACUGCUUUCGAGACUGCCGAGCUAGAGUGCGGAAGGGGCAACUGGAAUUCCCAGUGUAGCGGUGAAAUGCGUAGAGAUGUGGAGGAACACCAGUGGCGAAGGCGACUUUCUGGGCUGUAACUGACGCUGAGGCGCGAAAGCGUGGGGAGCAAACAGG
rnacentral:rRNA from 1 species